AUUGAACGCUGGCGGCAGGCCUAACACAUGCAAGUCGAACGGUAACAGGAAGCAGCUUGCUGCUUUGCUGACGAGUAGCGGACUGGUGAGUAAUGUCUGGGAAACUGCCUGAUGGAGGGGGAUAACUACUGGAAACGGUAGCUAAUACCGCAUAACGUCGCAAGACCAAAGAGGGGGACCUUAGGGCCUCUUGCCAUCGGAUGUGCCCAGAUGGGAUUAGCUAGUAGGUGGGGUAACGGCUCACCUAGGCGACGAUCCCUAGCUGGUCUGAGAGGAUGACCAGCCACACUGGAACUGAGACACGGUCCAGACUCCUACGGGAGGCAGCAGUGGGGAAUAUUGCACAAUGGGCGCAAGCCUGAUGCAGCCAUGCCGCGUGUAUGAAGAAGGCCUUCGGGUUGUAAAGUACUUUCAGCGGGGAGGAAGGGAGUAAAGUUAAUACCUUUGCUCAUUGACGUUACCCGCAGAAGAAGCACCGGCUAACUCCGUG
rnacentral:rRNA from 1 species